CGUUUAUUCGCGAGGGUAUGACGUUGAAGCACACGCGGAAACUGUUUAUCCUAGCAGCGAGCGCUCGUUUGAGCAGCGUUUCGAGGAAAGAAACAUAGAUUUAUUUAUUUUUUAUCAUUUUAUAAAGUGUUUCGUGUUAAAGGUAACUAGUCAUAAUGGGAAAAGCAGAUUUUCUUUCACCCAAAGCGAUAAGCAACCGAAUAAAAGCCAAAGGUCUACAGAAGUUGAGAUGGUAUUGCCAGAUGUGUCAGAAACAAUGCAGGGACGAGAACGGAUUUAAGUGUCACUGCAUGUCCGAGUCCCACCAGAGGCAGCUACUGCUGGCCUCGGAGAACCCCACCAAGUUCAUGGACUACUUCUCAGAUGAAUUCAGAAGUGACUUCCUGGAGCUGCUCAGAAGACGAUUUGGGACCAAGCGAGUACACAACAACAUCGUCUACAAUGAGUACAUCAGUCACCGGGAGCACAUCCAUAUGAACUCCACGCAGUGGGAGACUCUGACCGACUUCACCAAGUGGCUGGGCAGAGAGGGUUUUUGCAAAGUUGAUGAGACCCCCAAAGGCUGGUACAUCCAGUACAUCGACCGUGACCCAGAGACUAUCCGCCGCCAAGAGGAGCAGGCGAGGAAGAAGAAACAGGAGCUUGACGACGAGGAGAGGAGUGCCAGAAUGAUCGAGGAGCAGGUCCGCAAAGGCCGCGAAGGCAAGGACACAGAUGAAGCUCCAGUCUACACAGAGCUCAAACGUGAGAGUGAGGAAGAAAAAGUUGCUUUCAACUUGGGUGCCUGUUCUUCUGUCGCCGGCCCCUCCAAAUCAAGUUCGGUUCUGGGUGCUAGUGCGCUUAAAGCAGCAUCAUCUUCGUCUUCGACCUCAGUAAAAAGGAAAGACUCCAGCUCAGACUCCAGAGGAGGAGAAAAGAAGAAGAAAUCAGCUUUGGAGGAGAUCAUAGAGAUGGAGAAGAAGAAGCAGCAACAGCAGCAGCCAGUCAAAACUGAUUACUGGCUGCAGCCCAAUAUCAUAGUAAAAGUAAUCACCAAAAGACUGGGGGAGAAAUACCACAAGAAGAAGGCUGUCAUCAUGGAGGUACGAGACAAAUACACUGCAGUGGUAAAAAUGAUCGACUCUGGAGACAAACUGAAAUUGGACCAGAAUCACUUAGAGACAGUUAUACCUGCCCCAGGUAAACGAGUUUUGAUCCUGAACGGUCCUUACAGAGAUGUGGAGGCCCUGCUAGAUGGCAUUGAUGAAAAAAAUUUCAGCGCUGCACUCACUCUUGACUCUUUGGAUUGACUUUCAGCUGUUGUUCCAAACUACUUCGAUCUAGUAACUACAAUUCAUAUGCUCAACCCUAGAUAUACCCCAGAGAUGUUAAAGAUUUAUCAUCUCAUGUGAUGGUCCUCAGAAAGGAAAGAGAGUGGACAUUGCCUACGAGGAUUUCUCAAAACUGGCCUGAAUAAGCAUACUUGCUGUUUAAACCUCGGGUAGCUUUUUAGCUGAAGGACUCUACUGUGUCAGAGUUAAUUCCCCGGAAAUCUCUUGUGUAUGUCCCAUAAUUCACCUGCUUGAACAAAUCAGAAGAACUUUGAGCAGUUUGUUUUUGUUUGUUUUUAUUUAGUAUUCGUGUCAGUUUUGACCUUUCAGAUGUAUAUUUUCUCAAAAUAAAUUUGACAAAAGUUA